ACAGUACAAUCUGAUCAGGCCUUAAAGUGGAUGGAACGGAACAUCCAUGGAGGAGCCGGGCCGCUUUAGCGGCAGCAGGUAGGAAACACCUGCGGGACAGUC
rnacentral:ncRNA from 21 species